rnacentral:rRNA from 1 species
UACGAAGGGGGCUAGCGUUGCUCAGAAUCACUGGGCGUAAAGGGUGCGUAGGCGGGUCUUUAAGCCAGGGGUGAAAUCCUGGAGCUCAACUCCAGAACUGCCUUUGAUACUGAAGAUCUUGAGUUCGGGAGAGGUGAGUGGAACUGCGAGUGUAGAGGUGAAAUUCGUAGAUAUUCGCAAGAACACCAGUGGCGAAGGCGGCUCACUGGCCCGAUACUGACGCUGAGGCACGAAAGCGUGGGGAGCAAACAGG